CAUGCUCAAAGAAAAUGUGUCCUUGAUUAUGACUCAUGGCUCUAUUCCGUUGACAAAAACUGGGUUAAUGUGAUCUCAUUGGACGAAUCUCCAGUAUGAGAGAGUGCAUACAUGCCUGAAGAAAGAAAAGAGGAUGAGGGGUGUAGGACCAUCUACUGGACAUGCGUGGUUGGUGAUUUGAAUGAGAAUGUCUCCCAUCAACUCUGGCGUUUGAACACUUGGUUCCCAGUUGGUGGUGCCGUUUGGGAAGGGAGCUCAAAGGAGUCAACUUGUUGCAAAGAAGUUGCCGCAGCUGUCAGGACAUCAUGAAGAGAAAAAUGGUGGAAAGAGACAAAUGAUCAGGCCUCAGCAUGCUAAGAAAAAGAGCAGGCUUUGAAACUGCUAACUAGCAGCAUCCCUUCUAAGCAACACUUUUAGACCAUUAGCACAAAUAUAGAGUAGACGGCUCUCAACAACCUCACUGCCUAGAAGCAAAACUAGAAUCAAACAUGGAACAAUAAUAUCUAAUGGAGGAGGGCAUGAGUGUCUGGCAAUAAUGGCUGGGGUGAAGUUUAUCUGGGAGGGAAGGGUGUCCUAACCAUGUGUCUGGUAGGAAUGUAGCAAUCAUUAGAAAACUGCCUGUCUGUAAAUGGGUGGUAAUAUAUGGCAAAUGAGUUUACAAUAAAAUCCUUUCUAUCGUUA